CCUACGGGGGGCUGCAGUGGGGAAUAUUGCACAAUGGGGGAAACCCUGAUGCAGCGACGCCGCGUGAGUGAUGAAGUAUUUCGGUAUGUAAAGCUCUAUCAGCAGGGAAGAUAAUGACGGUACCUGACUAAGAAGCUCCGGCUAAAUACGUGCCAGCAGCCGCGGUAAUACGGAUGGAGCAAGCGUUAUCCGGAUUUACUGGGUGGAAAGGGAGUGCAGACGGCAGGGCAAGUCUGAUGUGAAAGUCCGGGGCCAAACCCCGGGACUACAUUGGAAACUGUCCGGCUAGAGUGCAGGAGAGGUAAGUGGAAUUCCUAGUGUAGCGGUGAAAUGCGUAGAUAUUAGGAGGAACACCAGUGGCGAAGGCGGCUUACUGGACUGUAACUGACGUUGAGGCUCGAAAGCGUGGGGAGCAAACAGGAUUAGAUACCCCUGUAGUC
rnacentral:rRNA from 1 species